rnacentral:rRNA from 1 species
UGGGGAAUAUUGCACAAUGGGCGAAAGCCUGAUGCAGCGACGCCGCGUGAGGGAUGACGGCCUUCGGGUUGUAAACCUCUUUCAGCAGGGACGAAGCGCAAGUGACGGUACCUGCAGAAGAAGCACCGGCUAACUACGUGCCAGCAGCCGCGGUAAUACGUAGGGUGCAAGCGUUGUCCGGAAUUACUGGGCGUAAAGAGUGCGUAGGCGGUUUGUCGCGUCGUUUGUGAAAACCAGCAGCUCAACUGCUGGCUUGCAGGCGAUACGGGCAGACUUGAGUACUGCAGGGGAGACUGGAAUUCCUGGUGUAGCGGUGAAAUGCGCAGAUAUCAGGAGGAACACCGGUGGCGAAGGCGGGUCUCUGGGCAGUAACUGACGCUGAGGAACGAAAGCGUGGGUAGCGAACAGG